CAACUGUCUCCAAAAAUGAGAAAAAAGAGGAUGAUUGCAAACAGAUAAACCAAAAGGAGAGAUGUAUUCAGCUAAAGAUGUAAAACUGCACUGGUCAGUGCCAGCCACAUCUGUGUGUUUGGUCACGCAAUGGAACUGCACUGUAGCCUGUCCCUUCUCACACCAGCUUUUUGUUGCCUAAUGCCACUGACGCUGAUGUUGCUGCUGGAUAGUAAGCCGCGCACCCUGACAGACGCCAGUUCUAGACCCGUUCUCUGGAUUUGGCUGUUGCU
rnacentral:lncRNA from 1 species